CAAGUCGAACGGAAAGGCCCUUCGGGGUACUCGAGUGGCGAACGGGUGAGUAACACGUGGGUGAUCUGCCCUGCACUUUGGGAUAAGCCUGGGAAACUGGGUCUAAUACCGAAUAUGAUCGUCGGCUUCAUGGCCGGUGGUGGAAAGCUUUUGCAGUGUGGGAUGGGCCCGCGGCCUAUCAGCUUGUUGGUGGGGUAAUGGCCUACCAAGGCGACGACGGGUAGCCGGCCUGAGAGGGUGACCGGCCACACUGGGACUGAGAUACGGCCCAGACUCCUACGGGAGGCAGCAGUGGGGAAUAUUGCACAAUGGGCGCAAGCCUGAUGCAGCGACGCCGCGUGAGGGAUGACGGCCUUCGGGUUGUAAACCUCUUUCAGCAGGGACGAAGCGCAAGUGACGGUACCUGUAGAAGAAGGACCGGCCAACUACGUGCCAGCAGCCGCGGUAAUACGUAGGGUCCGAGCGUUGUCCGGAAUUACUGGGCGUAAAGAGCUCGUAGGUGGUUUGUCGCGUUGUUCGUGAAAACUCACAGCUCAACUGUGGGCGUGCGGGCGAUACGGGCAGACUUGAGUACUGCAGGGGAGACUGGAAUUCCUGGUGUAGCGGUGGAAUGCGCAGAUAUCAGGAGGAACACCGGUGGCGAAGGCGGGUCUCUGGGCAGUAACUGACGCUGAGGAGCGAAAGCGUGGGGAGCGAACAGGAUUAGAUACCCUGGUAGUCCACGCCGUAAACGGUGGGUACUAGGUGUGGGUUUCCUUCCUUGGGAUCCGUGCCGUAGCUAACGCAUUAAGUACCCCGCCUGGGGAGUACGGCCGCAAGGCUAAAACUCAAAGAAAUUGACGGGGGCCC
rnacentral:rRNA from 1 species